UACGUAGGGAGCGAGCGUUGUCCGAAGUUACUGGGCGUAAAGCGCGCGUAGGCGGGCUGUUAAGUGAGAGGUGAAAGGCUGGGGCUUAACCCCAUGCAGUGCCUCUCAUACUGGCGGUCUUGAGUGCGGCAGGGAGAAGUGGAAUGGCUGGUGUAGCGGUGAAAUGCGUAGAUAUCAGGUCGGAACACCGGUGGCGAAGGCGGGUCUCUGGGCAGUAACUGACGCUGAGGAGCGAAAGCGUGGGGAGCGAACAGG
rnacentral:rRNA from 1 species